GGAAAAUAGAGAGGAAAGAUGGCGGAGGAGGAACCAGUGAUACCAGGAAAAUAAGAGUAAAGAAGGAGGUUUAGAGGAAUUUAAACUUUAAUUUGCCCUCUUUUUAAGGGUUUUGUUUUCACUCUCUGCCUGCACCGCUGGAUUCUGUUUGCUUGGUGAGUUUAAUGAUGAAAACUAACGUGUUAUUUCCUUGUUUUUAGGCUGAAUGUGAAAUGCCAAAUGCCUAAGUACCUCGGUACCUAAACUACGACUAUUUGUGUUCAUGUUACACUAUUUAUGUUGUGUAUUUCGCGUGUUUUCAUGGUGUAAAGUGAAUUGUGAGACGCUGCGGCAUCGGUCAAGUUUUGAUCGUAAAGUGAGGAAACGGGCGCCGCCAUUUUGAGACGCGAUUCCGACCAAAUUCAUUGUAAAUAAUCUGUUUUGUCAUGAAACAUGUAAGACUAAGAUACGUGUAUUUAUGUUGUCCUGUUUAAUAACAGGUCAGGUUUUGGUGUGAGGAUCGUUUGGUGUUUACACAUCCCGACACUGAGGAACAAAAUGGCGCGAGGCUGAAGACGCUGCGUCACACACCUGGAUAAAGAUUUAAUCAGCUGAUCUGUUUGUUUUGGAGAGGAGGAGACCUCUGAGGAGAAUUCAGCUCCUGGUAAAAACCUCCUGGUUGAUGCUGAAGGAACCCUAACCAAAAACUCCCAUGAUCCCAUGCUACUUCAUGACAUCACCAAACUCCAAGAUGGCAUCAGCUGCUGAGAGUCGACCUCAGAUGUUUUUCCUCUCUCCUGGAUAAUCAGUCAUCAGUGAGUUCCUCAGAUCUUCUCUCUCAACUCAUCAGGUGCAGUUUUCUCUAAUUUGUUUCCUCACCAAUUUGGUCUUUUUCAAACAAAAGCUCACAAUCAGUCACAGACAGUCGAUGUGAGUGUCCGUCAUUUGUGACGGACUGUGGGCUGUAAUCACAUGCUCUGAAUUUCUGUGUAGGAUGGAUGUGAGAAGGCAGUUUGUUGUAGGUGAGGAGAAAUCAGAGGGACAUUGUUUGGUGAAGUCAUCUGUGUUUGAUUGUGUUUUCUGAUGCUGGCGGCAAAACUUUCCCUGAAUAACCAGAAGCUGUUUUCCAUUAAAAGAAAGAGCCAGAGGAGCCAAAGUGUUUAGGAACAACAAAAAUUUCUGAGCUGUUAAAUCUGACUAAUGAGGAGGAAAUAAAUAAACAAGGUACGCUGGUUAAAUCUGACAUACAAACUUAACAUCAACGCAGCAGAUAUGGAGCUGCAGCUCAGCGUAUAACUUUUGUCCUCAGGUCCUCCAUUCCAGAUCUCAUAGGUCAUUUCAUUGUUUCAUGGAUCAAAGCUCCAGCUGUUCCACCUAGAGCUCCCCCUAGAGGCCCGGAGAACCUCCAUUGUGUUAUGCAGCUUUUUUUCUGUCGCAUUUGUUUUCUGUGUUUGUGUUUCUGGUUUUGCAUCGUUUCUGUGUUAGCAGUGUCUGUCCGUCCAUCCAUCCAUCCAUCCAUCCAUCCAUCCAUCCAUCCAUUUUCCUCUGCUAAUCUGGGGUCAGGUCACGGUAACAGGCAACAGGAACCUCAAGUUGUUCCCAGGCCAGAUGAGCUAUAUAAUCUCUCCAGUGAGUUCUGGGUGUACCCUGGGGUCUCCUCCCACUUGUACCUGGAAAACCUCCAGAGAAAGUCGCCCAGGAGGAUUCUGAUCAGAUCCCCAAACCACCUCAACUGGCUCCUUUCCUUUUCCUACGGAGAAAACUCAUUUUGACUGCUUGUAUCUGCGAUGUUGUUUUUUCGGAACGUAGACUGACUGUUAAAUCUAGAGCUUUGCCUUCUGGCUCCCUCCUCACCACAACAGUCUGGUACAACGUUCACAUUAAUGCUGACACUGCACCAAUUCACCUGUCGAUCUCUUGCUCUGGUAUUAGCAGUGUGUUUGCUGUUAAUGUUUUUGUCCUGUUUUCCUGAAGCACGUCUCUGUCAUUGUUUUUCAUUUUGGUAUGUGUUUUUGACUUGACAUUGUUACCGAAUUUGCAGUGAUGGAAAUGUUUUGGGCCGUUGCCAGCCACUGUACUA